GCAUGCCCGGCAAAGAGAGGUUCCUGAGGAGCGUCCUUAAUUAGGUCUAUAGCAGAUGUACUGUCCUAGGAGAACCUGGAAACCACAAAGAGUUCCUAUGAAAACAAGAGAGGGCAGUUUGGCAAUAUGAAUCGACUGAGAAGUAACUCGCUGAUAAAAAGAAAACAGAAAUCAUUAACGACAGGAUGAAUGGUACAAGGCUGCUAAGAAUUUAAUGAAGAGUGGGAACAGUUACCUGGAGAAUAACAGAGGGCAUUAAAGAACCAGCACCUACACAGCCAUGGAGAUGACAGGAGUCAGGCACUGCUGACCAGCAAGGGUGCAGUGAGGCAGGAAACCACAGUGAAUAGCUUCUCCCUUGGCCAAUACCAGGGGGGAUGGACUCAUGCACGGAGAGGAGGCAGCAAUGGAAAUCCAAAGAAUAUGGCCAUGGUCGGGGCGUUGCUGAAGCGGCCCCUCCAAAGUCAGCCCUUAGCAAAUCAAGAUUCAAGUCCAUGGGGCUUAUCUGUCAACUCCUUGAAAGCAGAAACAGGGGCCCAACACGCAGAAGGUGCUCAAUAAAUAUUUGCUGAGUACAUAAAAGAACAAUGAGCAACAUCAAUAAAACGUAUCUUGUGCUGAA